rnacentral:rRNA from 1 species
CACCAGGUUGAUUCUGCCUGACGUGGACGCUAGUCUCACAGAUUUAGCCAUGCAUGUGUAAGCGAAGCAUAUUGUGGAGCGGCGAAAGGCUCAGUAACGGGCGAUUUAUUUAUUCUUCUGUGACGGACAACACCGGGAAACUGGUGGGAAAACGUCUAUACUGCAGGAGUAGAAUUCUGUGGUAGAAAGAUUUAUCUGUGGAAGAGUAAGAUGCCAUCCUAUCAGUUAGUAAGUAGGGUAAGGGCCUACUUAGACGAAGACGGGUACGGGGAAUGAGGGUUUGAUUCCGGAGAGGGAGCCUGAGAGAUGGCUACCAGGACCAAGGUCAGCAGCAGGCGCGAAAAUUAUCGAAGCCCACUUUGGGGCGAUAGUGAGGAGACGUAAAUAUGAUGUACGGGUAAAGAACGUACUAUAAACUGGAGGUCAAGUCUGGUGCCAGCAUCCGCGGUAAUUCCAGCUCCAGGGGUGUCUAUGAUGAUUGCUGCGAUUAAAAAGUCCGUAGUCUAGCCGCACGACCAGUCUGGAAUGUUUCUGAUCAAAAGAAGAGCAGGGCUGGGAAGGCGGAGAAUUAGGAGCGACCAGGGGCUAGAGUAUUGAAUGGCGAGAGGUGAAAUUUGAUGACCCAUUCAGGAGUGACAAAGGCGAAGGCACUAGUCAGGGGCGAAUCCGAUGAUCAAGGACGUAGGCUAGAGUAUCGAAAACGAUUAGAGACCGGAGUAGUUCUAGCAGUAAACUAUGCCGACUUUGUGGCAGAGGUAUCUGUUGCAAACGAGAAAUCUUAAGUAAGGCUUUGGGGAGAGUACGCGCGCAAGCGAUAAAUUUAAAGGAAAUU